AAGGAGCUACAUUUUAGCUCUUGUUGGUUUUCAUUAAUUUAAGCAUAAAAGUAACUAGCCACAGGUGGCUCAUGGCUACCAUCAUGGAGAAUAUAAAUCUAUUAGAAGGACCACAAGCUACGGGGACUUCAGGGAGCAGACAGAUAACAUCAGAGUGCAGAGGUCAUCCUCUGAGCGUUCAGCCUAGUCUUGGUAUACAAGCUGCACUCAAAGCCAACUGAACUCCAUGGUGAAGAGAAUUAUCUUUGGCAUCCCACAGUAAGGACUCAGACUUCUUUGCUUCUUAGGACCUCAUCUGCAAAGUUGACUAUGCAGAGCAGGUUUAAAUCAGAAUUCCUUCAUUGGUUCAACAAACGUGUGUUCCAUGUGCCUACUUUAUGGAAGUACUACUUGGGACACCAUUGAUCCUGAAUUUAUCCCACAGCGUUCGAAGAAUCUUCAUUGUUUGCUCUGUUAGAGAUGAGAGACGCUGUUUAAUUCUUCCAUGUAAUUUCUCGUCCUUUUCUGAAACUAUUCCCUCAAUAAUCUCACAUGAUUGAAGAAAAAACUCUUUAUCCUGUAGUUUUAAAAAAACAAAGAACAUUUUAAAUAAAUGUGAAAUUACUACGAGAAACCAUGAGCUACUUGAAUUCCUUAGAAAG
rnacentral:lncRNA from 1 species